GUUGAGAUGACCGAGUUGGUCUAAGGCGCUAGAUUAAUCCAAGAGGGCGCGGGUUCAGAUCCGACUCUCAACA
rnacentral:tRNA from 1 species